rnacentral:rRNA from 1 species
GAUCAUGGCUCAGGACGAACGCUGGCGGCGUGCCUAACACAUGCAAGUCGAACGGAGAUGUUUAUUUCGGUAGAUAUCUUAGUGGCGCACGGGUGAGUAACGCGUGAAUAACCUGACCCAAAGAGGGGGAUAACACCUGGAAACAAGUGCUAAUACCGCAUAAGACCACAGACCGGCAUCGGUCAGAGGUCAAAGGAGGAAUCCGCUUUGGGAGGGGUUCGCGUCCCAUUAGGUAGUUGGUGAGGUAACGGCCC